rnacentral:rRNA from 1 species
AUGGAGAGCGUAGCAGGGCUGAUGCGGGGUUUGAAGCUGUCUGAUGAGGUGAGUAAAGGGGUGAAAAUCCGGUGUUCGUCGAAGGAAAAGGGCAAGGAGGCGGCGUUCCAGGCGGUGGGCAAGAUCAUGUCCGAAAAAUUGGCUCAUCCAGAUGCGAUCUCUCUCACCCUGGGAAAGGUGUGGUGCUCGAUCAAAGGUAUCACCUGCACAGAGAUAGGGGUAAACAAAUUCCUCUUCACGUUUCAUCAGGAAUCGGGAAAGCGGAAAGCUGUGGAGGAUGGACCGUGGAUGUUCGAUAAGGAUCUGGUGGUAGUAGAGGAGUACAUGCCUAGUAAGCGGCUAGAAGAUUACGCCUUCAAUGACAUCCCGAUCUGGGUUAGUGUUUUUAACCUCCCUUUGGGUAUGAUGAAUGAGGAUUCGGCGGAGGACAUUGGCAAUAUCAUUGGUAGAUUUGUUGAGGCAUAUACAGGAGCGGAUGGAAGUGCAAUUGGUAGAUUCUUAGGAUCAAAGUGCGGAUGCAGAUUGAUAAACCGAUCAUGA